rnacentral:rRNA from 1 species
AUUGAACGCUGGCGGCAGGCCUAACACAUGCAAGUCGAACGAGUGGCGGACGGGUGAGUAAUGUCUGGGAAACUGCCUGAUGGAGGGGGAUCACUACUGGAAACGGUAGCUAAUACCGCAUACCAUCGGAUGUGCCCAGAUGGGAUUAGCUAGUGGGGGGGGUAAUGGCUCACCUAGGCGACGUUCCCUAGCUGGUCUGAGAGGAUGACCAGCCACAUGGGAACUGAGCAACGGUCCAGACUCGAACGGGAGGCAGCAGUGGGGAAUAUUGCACAAUGGGCGCAAGCCUGAUGCAGCCAUGCCGCGUGGAUGAAGAGGGCCUUCGGGUUGUAAAGUACUUUCAGCGGGGAGGCGUUACCCGCAGAAGAAGCACCGGCUAACUCCGUGCCAGCAGCCGCGGUAAUAC